GAUGAACGCUGACAGAAUGCUUAACACAUGCAAGUCUUUGGCGAAGCUGUGCUUGCACAGCCUAGCCAAGGCGGACGGGUGAGUAACGCGUAAGGAACUUGCCCUGCAGUCAGGGAUAACAGACGGAAACGACUGAUAAGACCUGGUAAAGUCAGGCGGACUCAUGUCCAGCCUGAUGAAAAGAGAUGCUGCAGGAGAGCCUUGCGUCCUAUUAGCUUGUUGGUGGGGUAACGGCCCACCAAGGCGAUGAUAGGUAGCCGGCCUGAGAGGGUGGACGGCCACAAGGGGACUGAGAUACGGCCCUUACUCCUACGGGAGGCAGCAGUGGGAAUAUUGGACAAUGGGGGCAACCCUGAUCCAGCAAUUCUGUGUGCACGAUGAAGGUUUUCGGAUUGUAAAGUGCUUUCGGCAGGGAAGAAAAAAAUGACGGUACCUGCAGAAGAAGCGACGGCUAAAUACGUG
rnacentral:rRNA from 1 species